UCGCCCACAAUGCCUUCAACGGUUUCAACACGGAUGUUGUUGAACGCCGGUCACUUUCGAUGUGCGCAAUGCAUGACAAAUCGAAGGCUUGGCUGGAUCCCGAAUUUGGGGAACAUCUUUGUUGGAGCCGUUGCAGGUGGCAAUGCAGCGCCUGUUUGGUUCCUUCAUUGGUCUCCUCGCGCUAACCCCGUAGCGUGUGGUUUUUAGCGGGCCGCUGGCCCGCUUUUUUUU
rnacentral:ncRNA from 1 species